rnacentral:rRNA from 1 species
CCUACGGGUGGCAGCAGUGGGGAAUAUUGGACAAUGGGCGAAAGCCUGAUCCAGCCAUGCCGCGUGUGUGAAGAAGGCCUUCGGGUUGUAAAGCACUUUCAGUGGGGAAGAAAGCCUUGGGGCUAAUACCCUCGAGGAAGGACAUCACCCACAGAAGAAGCACCGGCUAACUCCGUGCCAGCAGCCGCGGUAAUACGGAGGGUGCGAGCGUUAAUCGGAAUUACUGGGCGUAAAGCGCGCGUAGGCGGUCUGAUAAGCCGGUUGUGAAAGCCCCGGGCUCAACCUGGGAACGGCAUCCGGAACUGUCAGGCUAGGGUGCAGGAGAGGAAGGUAGAAUUCCCGGUGUAGCGGUGAAAUGCGUAGAGAUCGGGAGGAAUACCAGUGGCGAAGGCGGCCUUCUGGACUGACACUGACGCUGAGGUGCGAAAGCGUGGGUAGCAAACAGGAUUAGAUACCCGGGUAGUC